CAACACAGCAUUGUACCCAGGGUCUUCCCAGACAUUGCACCUGGCGCUGUUGGGUUGUGAUUAAAGUGAGUU
rfam:Rattus norvegicus chromosome 20, whole genome shotgun sequence.